GGGGCUCGAACUUAUGACCCUGAGAUCAAGAGUCACCUGCUCUUCCGACUGAGCUAGACAGGCGCCCCAACUGAAGUUAUUUCUAAUUUUUCACUGUCCCAAGUGAUUCUGCAGUGAGUAUCCUUGAACUUGUUUUUCUAGAGUAUGUCCCUGGAAGUGGUGCUGCUCGCCCUUGGGAGAAGGCAUUCCCAGUUAUAGACACGUUGCCAAAUUGCUCACAAGCUUGGCUGGACCAGUUCACGCUGCCAUCAACGUGGGCUUCGGUUCUUCAGACACAAAUUCUCCUACCACUGGGGUUUUCCCGAAUCUGAACCCAGUGGCCAAGAAGAGAUGACUGGCAUGGGCACCGUAAGGGAAGGAGAAGGGUUGGACCUCUAGCUUCCAGCCGGGGAUUGCCUGUGGUCCUGAGCCAAUCAGAGAUGCCCAUGGGAGGUUUUCGUGUGUUGCACACACUACAAGGAAACAGGGCUAGGACAAAGACAAAGACAAAAACAGAAGAAACCGAAGGCCUCUUCCGAGACGUUAUAAGGGGGUCAAGAGAGGUCCUUAAUUGAACACUGGAGAUCAAGGCUGGAGAAAAGCCGCAGACCAGGACCCUUGACAAAUCCGAUCAGAUUUGGCACACAGCUAAGAAAGUUAAAAGACUCAGAGUCCGUGAAUUCUCCAGAAGCCUAAGGAGGACCAGGCUUACACUAAAUAAAGGACCCCAGCACGGGUAACGAAGACACCGGUUUACGCCUAGGUGCUGGCAUUUCUCUGGCUUUAACCCCAACUGCAUAUCUUAUUUAAAAAUAACA